rnacentral:rRNA from 1 species
UAAGGAAUAUUGGUCAAUGGACGUAAGUCUGAACCAGCCAUGCCGCGUGAAGGAUGAAGGUCCUCUGGAUUGUAAACUUCUUUUAUCUGGGACGAAAACGGGAUUUUUAUCUCAAUUGACGGUACCAGAGGAAUAAGCACCGGCUAACUCCGUGCCAGCAGCCGCGGUAAUACGGAGGGUGCGAGCGUUAUCCGGAUUUACUGGGUUUAAAGGGUGCGUAGGUGGGCUUAUAAGUCAGUGGUGAAAUCUCCGAGCUUAACUUGGAAACUGCCGUUGAUACUAUAGGUCUUGAAUUAUCUGGAGGCAAGCGGAAUAUGUCAUGUAGCGGUGAAAUGCUUAGAUAUGACAUAGAACACCAACUGCGAAGGCAGCUUACUACAUAUAAAUUGACGCUGAGGCACGAAAGCGUGGGGAUCAAACA